rnacentral:rRNA from 1 species
AACGAACGCUGGCGGCAUGCCUAACACAUGCAAGUCGAACGAGACCUUCGGGUCUAGUGGCGCACGGGUGCGUAACGCGUGGGAACCUGCCCUUAGGUUCGGAAUAACUCCCCGAAAGGGGUGCUAAUACCGGAUAAUGUCUUCGGACCAAAGAUUUAUCGCCUUUGGAUGGGCCAGCGUUGGAUUAGCUAGUUGGUAGGGUAAAAGCCUAACAAGGCGAUGAUCCAUAGCUGGUCUGAGAGGAUGAUCAGCCACACUGGGACUGAGACACGGCCCAGACUCUGAAGGGAGGCAGCAGGCGGGAAUAUUGCAGGAUGGACGAGAGCGUGAUAUAGACAACUGGGGUAUGUCAUGAACCCGCUCUGCCGCUUGAGUAAUUUAGGCCGGAGAGUAGAACAGCACGUGUAUCCCUGGCGGUAAUGACGGUACCCAGAGAAUAAGCACCGGCUAACUCCGUG